rnacentral:rRNA from 1 species
UACGAAGGGGGCGAGCGUUGUUCGGAAUUACUGGGCGUAAAGGGUGCGUAGGCGGCUUGGUAGGUCUGGUGUGAAAGCCCCGGGCUCAGCCCGGGAAGGGCACUAGAAACUGCCAAGCUAGAGUGCCGGAGGGGAGAGUGGAAUUCCUGGUGUAGCGGUGAAAUGCGUAGAGAUCAGGAGGAAUACCGGUGGCGAAAGCGACUCUCUGGACGGCAACUGACGCUGAGGCACGAAAGCGUGGGGAGCAAACAGG